rnacentral:lncRNA from 1 species
UAACAAUCACCUGCCAAAAAAGGACACCCAACAACCACGCAUUAUACAUACUAGCCAUCAUCUUGAGCCUGGUGUUGCUAUCAGCUUAACCAAUCAAACUCAACAUGUCUGCUAGUGGCAAGAUCAUUUUCAUGAGGAUAAUUCUCAUCUCUUGCAUUCUACUCCCCCUUGGGUUUCUUUCUCUUGCACCACCUCUACCCGCAGCUAGCUCGAGAAGCGCACGAAAGUCUGGAUACAUUGUUAUCAGUGGUAAUCUGCUAAAACUCUCUCUCUUAUCAUGAUGCUUUUCCGCAGCUUAUGUAAGCUUUGACACGCUUUUGGCUAUUAGGAGAUUGUGCUGACAUGUAUUGCUUUGCAUCAUCAGUCUUCAAACAGUCAUAGAAUGCAUGCAUUUGUUGCAAGUCAUAUGAAAUCACUGAUUUUCUUGAAAUGGAAUGCCCGGAGAUGACAGCUAUGAACUGAUACUGUUUUCAGGUUGCAACAAUUACUGCAGCGUGGCCUGCUGCUACUGUAACAUCCACAGGUUUCCACCUGUUUGUGAGAAAUGCUGCGAGUAAUACGAAGUCUUCACUUCCUCCAUCUUUGGAACAAGGCAGGAGAUACUUCCGGUGUGCUGUCUUGGCAUGAUUUCAUAGUAAAUACAUCUGAAAGUCUGAGUUUCAACAACAUGGAAACGCCUGGAAACCCUUAAGUUUUCAGUCGUGCUGUAUGUUACUUUUCCGAUAACUCAUUAUGUUUGUUACUUUGAAGCAACAUGAUCUGAUUCUGGCAUAUCAGACCUACACAUGGCAGUUUUUGUUAAAUAGUACUCCCUC